UUAAUUACCAGGCCAGGAAGUCACCGUGAUCACGCAGGUGGUUUCCCGGGGCAGGGCUCACCCAUUGCGCCGGGAUGUACUGACCCCUAUGAUUUCCACAAAUGUGGGAAGCUCAGCUGCAUAAUUUGUAUUGGUGUGUGUGUGGGGGGCUGCUUUCACACUCC